AGGUGAAAAUUUGUAAAUAGUGGAGAAAUCCUAAUUAUAUAUGAAAAAUUCUUUCCAAUGCUCUUUUCAUGAUGCCAUUUUUCAACUUUAUCCUUAUGUUUUAUUCAUUUUUAUUUCUACCCUCUUUAAAUGUUUAAUGACCAUUUUACCUUUAUUUAGAAAUUGUUUUAGUU
rnacentral:sRNA from 1 species